AUUGAACGCUGGCGGCAGGCCUAACACAUGCAAGUCGAGCGGAUGAAGGGAGCUUGCUCCUGGAUUCAGCGGCGGACGGGUGAGUAAUGCCUAGGAAUCUGCCUGGUAGUGGGGGAUAACGUCCGGAAACGGGCGCUAAUACCGCACACGUCCUGAGGGAGAAAGUGGGGGAUCUUCGGACCUCACGCUAUCAGAUGAGCCUAGGUCGGAUUAGCUAGUUGGUGGGGUAAAGGCCUACCAAGGCGACGAUCCGUAACUGGUCUGAGAGGAUGAUCAGUCACACUGGAACUGAGACACGGUCCAGACUCCUACGGGAGGCAGCAGUGGGGAAUAUUGGACAAAGGGCGAAAGCCUGAUCCAGCCAUGCCGCGUGUGUGAAGAAGGUCUUCGGAUUGUAAAGCACUUUAAGUUGGGAGGAAGGGCAGUAAGUUAAUACCUUGCUGUUUUGACGUUACCAACAGAAUAAGCGCCGGCUAACUUCGUG
rnacentral:rRNA from 1 species